AUACGGAGGAUCCGAGCGUUAUCCGGAUUUAUUGGGUUUAAAGGGAGCGUAGGUGGAUUGUUAAGUCAGUUGUGAAAGUUUGCGGCUCAACCGUAAAAUUGCAGUUGAAACUGGCAGUCUUGAGUACAGUAGAGGUGGGCGGAAUUCGUGGUGUAGCGGUGAAAUGCUUAGAUAUCACGAAGAACUCCGAUUGCGAAGGCAGCUCACUAGACUGUUACUGACACUGAUGCUCGAAAGUGUGGGUAUCAAACAGGAUUAGAUACCCUGGUAGUCCACACAGUAAACGAUGAGUACUCGCUGUUUGCGAUAUACAGUAAGCGGCCAAGCGAAAACAUUAAGUAUUCCACCUGGGGAGUACGCCGGCAACGGUGAAACUCAAAUGAAUUGACGGGG
rnacentral:rRNA from 1 species